rnacentral:lncRNA from 1 species
AAAAUUAAAGAUAUAUGUGUAUAUAUAUACAUAUAUAUAUAUAUAUAUAUAUAUAUCUUUAAAAGUUUUGCAGACCUAUAUUGUUUAUUCCCUACGUGGAACAUUUUGAGUUCUUGGUAUUGUUUUCAGAUUGAUUGAUUCAGAUACGAUUUGUUUUCAAAUGAGACUCCAUUAGCUUCUUUCCCUGCCUCAUAAAUUUUUUUUUCAUAAAAAUCUUGAUAUUUGUGUGUGGCCUAAUGCUUUGGGUUUUACAGAUUUUAUUUUUAAAUGCAAGACUUUGGAACAAAAUAGUGAUUGUCAUCAGUUUGGCACUAAACAUUUACAAUUACUGUGUAAUUAUAAACAAAAAUAUAUAAAGCUUUUGAUUAUGUAGCAAAAAACGUUAAGGCUGUUCACAGUGAUGGCAUCUUAGAAUUAAAACCAUUGCUAGGGCUCAAACAAGAAAGUUGAUUUAAUGUGUUUAUUCUGAGGGUGAAUGUCUGGUUAUAGGGAAUGUUUUGUACUAAAAAUGCUUACCCUGCUGGGGGAGGGGCGUCGGUGAGUCUGAGAGAGAGGCCAUGUGCGUACACAGCGAGCUCUACUGCUUCAGUUCAUGGGGUCUUUGGGUGAGGUUUCCAAGCUGAUUACUUUCUUUUUUUAGACAGAGCCACAAGGAGAGUUUACUUUUUGCCAAAUGUCAUAACAGGUACACAUUUUUAAAUGUAAAGCUUUUUAAAUAGUAAAAUGUAUAAAAUGAGAAGUACCCACAUAUAAAAAUACUUGGUCAAGGUUCUCUUCAUCUGCAUAUCUCUGUAAGUUCAAGUGUGUCUUUCCAACCCCUGUCAUAUUACCCACGGAGGCAAUAAAAGCUUCAGUAAAUUUGCCAUGACU